GGAAAACAUCUUGGAUCAAAGUAGGGUGGUAGAAAGUAACUUUGGAAUGGAGAAGGUGGAGAAAGGAAAAGCAUACCAAUUCGGUAUACAUGUUAUCAACUCUGAGGGCCUCAGUAAGCUCCUGGAAGCAGAAGAACAGAAAUUAUUGCCAGAUGAGCUGUUGGGUGCCUCAGUCUCGAGGGGUAGAUGUCAGGAAAGAAGCUGUCACCAUCACCAGGAACUCCUCAGCCCAGGAUGGACGUUCCUCAGUGCAAGGCUAUGUCAUAGAAGGAAGGAAAAAGAAGGUAACUGAAGGAUACAGCAUGAUACAGUGUGAGUUCAACCAUGCAGGGCCUGGAUUUCCCAGCGCACCUUUAACCACUUGUUGCAAAGGAUCCCACCGAGCCUGCAGAAGUCCUGAAGGUUCUCUACGUGGUGGAUUUUUCCAGUUCUAGCAUCUCCUUAGCCUGCCAGGAACCAAACAAGGAAGCUGUGUCAUCAAGAUACAUACUAGAGGAUAUAAGUGGAGGACACCAAGGAAUGGACAAAGUGCACCAAGAUCCCUAUCUCUAGUACCACUUAACUCUGCAGGAGGCUUGCAGGACAGACAUAUCCUUCCAAGCUGUGAGUGAAGCCAGUGUGGGAAAAGCAAUGGAG
ensembl:lncRNA